AGGUUACAAUCACAUCAGAACCAGUCAGGGUAGAGGAAGGGGGGGUGUGGACGAACCAGUCUGGAGUAGAGGAGAGGUGUGGUCCAGUCAGAGGUAGAGAAGGAGGGGGGGUGGACCAGUCAGGAGUAGAGGAGGGGUGUGGUCCAGUCAGAGGUAGAGAAGGAGGGGGGGUGGACCAGUCAGGAGUAGAGGAGGGGUGUGGUCCAGUCAGAGGUAGAGAAGGGGGGGGGGUGGACCAGUCAGGAGUAGAGGAGGGGUGUGGUCCAGUCAGAGGUAGAGAAGGAGGGGGGGUGGACCAGUCAGGAGUAGAGGAGGGGUGUGGUCCAGUCAGAGGUAGAGAAGG